rnacentral:rRNA from 1 species
GACGAACGCUGGCGGCGUGCUUAACACAUGCAAGUCGAACGGAAAGGCCCUGCUUUUGUGGGGUGCUCGAGUGGCGAACGGGUGAGUAACACGUGAGUAACCUGUCCUUGACUUUGGGAUAACCUCAGGAAACUGGGGCUAAUACCGGAUAGGAGCUCCCGCCGUAUGGUGGGGGUUGGAUAGUUUCGGUGGUUGGGGAUGGACUCGCCGCCUAUCAGCUUGUUGGUGGGGUAGUGGCUUACCAAGGCCUUGACCGGUAGCCGGCCUGGGAGGGUCACCGGCCACAUUGGGACUGAGAUACGGCCCAGACUCGUACGGGAGGCAGCAGUGGGGAAUAUUGCACAAUGGGCGGAAGCCUGGUGCGGCAACGCCGCGUGCGGGAUGACGGCCUUCGGGUUGUGAACCACUUUCGCCUGUGACGAGGCGUGAGUGACGGUAAUGGGUAAAGAAGCACCGGCUAACUACGUG